rnacentral:rRNA from 1 species
UACAGAGGGUGCGAGCGUUAAUCGGAAUUACUGGGCGUAAAGCGCACGUAGGUGGCGACGUAAGUCGGGUGUGAAAGCCCCGGGCUCAACCUGGGAAUUGCAUUCGAGACUGCAUUGCUGGAGUACGGAAGAGGAAGGCGGAAUUCCCGGUGUAGCGGUGAAAUGCGUAGAUAUCGGGAGGAACAUCAGUGGCGAAGGCGGCCUUCUGGUCCAGUACUGACGCUGAGGCGCGAAAGCGUGGGGAGCGAACAGG